AUACCUGUGCAGGAGAUACUCUAGAGCUCUGGGGUUAACGUAGUAUGCCUGUUCACGCAUAGGCACGAAAGGGUAGAGCUGAGAGAGUGUGCCCCUGACGAACAACAUCCUUGGAUAUACUGCAGAGAAAUCGUGCAAGGGGACAGCCAAUAUUAUCAUCUUCGUCAACUAGUUCAUUGCUCGAUAUUACGAUGUGCUGCACAUCCCCGCUUCCCCAGUCCAGAUUACCCCGACUCGACAGCCUAACCAUUAUUCUUUCCAUGUUGAUGUCCUCCAUGCAUGAAUGUCAUUCGAAAGAUAUUAUUGAUACAGUACGGAAGAGGCUUGCGAGUUAGGAGUUAGGCUGGCGGACCCUGGCAUGGACUGGGGUUUCUCUCCUCUGCAGAGUCUAGAGGCGAGCGAAGGCGAUGGCUGCUAAUUUCUUUCUGCUCGCAGGGAAUAAGUACUUGGACAGACGAGCAGACCAGCGCAGAACCUGAGAGUCCGGAAGUUGUACAGAGUAGAAACAGAACACGAUUCGCCACUGCCUGUCGCUGCUGCUCAUCCACCUUUCAAUAGUUUCCCCCAUGGAGGCUUUCUAUGAACAUCACCCUGCGAAGUAAGCACUGAUCAGUGAUCGUCGGCAAAUCAUGACGCUCUCAAAGUCCGACUACGUAUGUUUUCUUUUCUUUUCUUUUCUUUUCUGUUCAUCCUCUACUGAAGGUUGAUCACUAUGCUGUUUAAGCUCGACACUUCAAAAUCAGCUGGGCACACACAAAAAACCAAAGGGAGGCGGGGAGAGAGAGAGAAGGGCUCCCAGAAUAAAGCAAAAAUUGAUAUGAUAGCAUUGGCACGGGGGGUUGGGCAAAAGGCAUAGGAGGAAACACAUCCUUCAUCGUGAACAAUCAAUCUGUCCGCUGUAAAUCCCUCGAAAGAUUCUUUCAUCCC
rnacentral:sRNA from 1 species